UUUUUACAAAUAGAUAUAUUUAAUCAAAUAAUUUUAUAGACAAUUGAUUAAACAUAAAAUAUAUUAAAUCCUUUUCAAAAGUUCCUAAUUCAAAUAUUCAAAUAUGUUUUUUACCUAAAUUGUAUAUAAAAUAAUUCUUGGACAGUUUAUUAUAGUAUACCGAACACGGUUGAUUUAUUAUAAAUUAUAAUAUUAUACACAUCACGCUUUGUUUAAGUUAUAAUUAUAAUAAAAACAAUUUAUGUAAACAUAAAACGUUAAAAAGUGCAUCUGUAUAAUAUACAUAAUGUAUAGGUAAUAUAAUAUACAGGUGUCCUAAGGUGUUAUUCUUUUGCUAAUGCUACUGUUUCAAUGUUUAUUUUUUUUUCAAUUGGGUUUUGUGCGAAGGGGACACAUGUAGAGAAAAAUUAAAUUUAUAUUUUCAUCCUUUAAUCACUGAAAAAAAUAACUUUUUAUUUUUCCUUAUUGCGUUACGCGUGUUAUUCUAUUGAAAAUAAAUUGUUUUUAUUAAGUCAAUAUUUUAGAAAUUAAAACUGCCAUUACUGAGAAACUAUUGAUCAAAUAUGAAUGUAUG